rnacentral:rRNA from 1 species
AGGGGGGUUUGAUCCUGGGCUCAGAUUGAACGCUGGCGGCAUGCCUAACACAUGCAAGUCGAACGGAAACGAUUAAGAGCUUGCUCUUAAGGCGUCGAGUGGCGGACGGGUGAGUAAUACUUAGGAAUCUACCCAGUAGCGGGGGACAACUCGAGGAAACUCGAGCUAAUACCGCAUACGCCCUACGGGGGAAAGCAGGGGAUCUUCGGACCUUGCACUAUUGGAUGAGCCUAAGUCGGAUUAGCUUGUUGGUGAGGUAAAGGCUCACCAAGGCGACGAUCCGUAGCUGGUCUGAGAGGACGAUCAGCCACACUGGGACUGAGACACGGCCCAGACUCCUACGGGAGGCAGCAGUGGGGAAUAUUGGACAAUGGGGGCAACCCUGAUCCAGCAAUGCCGCGUGUGUGAAGAAGGCCUGCGGGUUGUAAAGCACUUUCAGUAGAGAAGAAAAGCCUACGGUUAAUACCCGUGAGUCUUGACGUUACCUACAGAAGAAGCUCCGGCUAACUCCGUGCCAGCAGCCGCGGUAAUACGGAGGGAGCGAGCGUUAAUCGGAAUUACUGGGCGUAAAGCGCGCGUAGGCGGCUUUGUAAGUCGGAUGUGAAGCCCUGGGCUCAACCUGGG